rnacentral:rRNA from 1 species
UACGUAGGAGGCAAGCGUUGUCCGGAAUUACUGGGCGUAAAGCGCGUGUAGGUGGUGGGACAAGUCUGCUGUGAAAGCGCCUGGCUUAACCGGGCGAGGUCGGCGGAAACUGUUCGACUCGAGGACGGUAGAGGGGGGUGGAAUUCCCGGUGUAGUGGUGAAAUGCGUAGAGAUCGGGAGGAACACCUGUGGCGAAGGCGGCCCCCUGGGCCGGCCCUGACACUGAGACGCGAAAGCGUGGGAAGCAAACAGG